rnacentral:tRNA from 1 species
AUUUAUAUAGUUUUAAAGAAAACAUUACACUUUCAUUGUAAAAUUGGAACUCAUCCUAUAAAUA